GUCAGCACAGCGCCUGGCACUGCCCUUCCCGCUUCUCUCUGAGAACUCCAGAGUGAGCCCUGCCUGGGCCUGGAGCCCGGACCCAGGGCUGGAGCCUGCGGCUGCGUCUCUUGUGUCCCCAGAUCAAAGGCGGCCUGGGCUUGGGCUUGGGCUCUGCGUGUGUUGUUCUCCAGGGCGGAGACCUGCUGGUGGCAGUGUCAGGUUACGUGGGAUGUAGGCGGUACGCGCAAAAUCCUGCUGACCUCAGCUCCACACUGAACUGGACGCCUUCCUCCCCCGAUCACGGCCGCCCGGGCAGCCGCACUGGCAGGCUUUGACAGAGGCAGCUGUGCCAGGUCUCCGCUGGCCAGCUGUGCAGGAACGGGCGCUUGUCAAGGGAGACAGGUCCCUUCUGGCCGCCCCCGGCUCUGCUCUGGCCCCGGGCUGCUCCCUCUGCCCCAGUCCCUUCCUCACCCCAGCUCUGCUCUGGCCCCGGGCUGCUCCCUCUGCCCCAGUCCCUUCCUCACCCCCGAGUGCCUGAGCAAGGGCAAAGUGCACUCAGGGGCCACUCCAAGGGCACCUUCCCAGCUGGCGCUGCGCUGAGCCGGCACCGGGUGCCCCAAGUCCUGCUGGAGGCCCUCAGCCUCGUCUUACAGGGUGGCUGUGAACCUCACCCCAUCGACCCGGGAUCUCAGGGCCUCGGAACAGCGUCCACGUCUGGCUCUGUGUCCUCCUCAUGCAAUCAAGUUUCAGAUCAGGGAUGCCCAGCCCGUAGAAGUGACGUCCGAGCCGUGGGGACGAAGCAGUCGGCAGCUGGCCAGGCAGCUACGUCACGGCGUCCCCAGCUGUCUGAGGACGUGUGGCGAAAUCCAGCAGAACGUUUGGUGUCACCACAGCACGUGAGUGGAGGCUGGGGACACUGAACAGCCUACCCAUGCCCAGCACAUGGUCCAGGCCCAAAGGUCAGCACUGGCCAUCGUGGGCACUGUGGUGAGGUGGGCUGGAUGGCUCUGGGUGACGGAGCUGGUCGCUCCCCCACUGGGCAAGGCAGCGUCUUCAGGCAGGGCUGUGUGGGGAGGCGGGAGCAGCCUGUAGGGCUGGCUCUGCACCCGUGCACCCCAGCCGGCCCACCGAGGACGCUGCCCGUGUGAGAGACACGUGUCGCCCUGGGACGCCCAGGCAGAACAAUGUGUUCCACAGCCUGACCCGUGCCCACGCCAGCGAGCGGCCACCAACGGUCCAGGCCGGGCUCCCAGCCUCAGCCUCUCCGCGCCCAAGGACUGAGCUCAGUGGGGAUCACGCGUGCGGAGCGCGUGUGAUGACGCACACGUCCCAGCCAGGGAGGGACCAGCAGGAUCAGCAGCUGGGGCUCCGGGGCUCCGGGGGCUCUGCAUCCAGGCGGCCACUCCCAGCCCCCACUGUGGCCUGCGUGCUCACGGGACGCUGGCUGGAGGCCAGGCGGGGCCCCGGGGCCAAGGCUCCCCGCCCUGCCUCCGUCUUCCUGCGAUGCCGCGUGGAAUGAGGGGAAUGAGUCUCCAGCAUGUGGGCCCAUAUUUAAUUAUUAUGAUUUAUCACCGCCGAGUACAUAAAGCAGUCCCCCGGACGCGACAUUCCUCACUCCCCAGCGCGCCGGGCAGUCUGCGGGCCUCCGCGGCAUCCUGCGCCGCUCUCCUCGUUAGCGUCAUCACUGUUAUUUACGACAGCCCAGCUGCCGGGGAGCAGGGCAGGGGCCGUGAGGUUCGCAGCAAGUUCAAGGGCUGGCGGGGAGGCCCUGGGCGCCCCGAGAGCUGCCAGCCCCCAGGGACCUGUGGGCGGGCGAGGGUGUGCGGGAGCCGCGGCUGCGGGAAGUUGUGAUGAAACACGCGAGACCACAAAAGGCACCGCUGGCGCCAUGCACGUGUGCGGCGCGCUCCCGUUCCCCUUACUUACAGUUGCAUCGUUGUGCAACCAUCACCACCAUCCGCCUCCGGAACUUUCCAUCGUGUCCCCCCUGAACACUCCCUGCCCUCGCCCCCUCCCCUGAGCCCCAGACCCACUACUCUGCUUUCCGUGUGCGUUUGACCUCGGUAAGGAGAAUCGCAGGAAAUCUGUCCUUCUGUGUCUUGCUUACUUCACUCAGCCGGGCCACUUGUGGGUUCGUCCGUGCUGUAGCGUGUGCCAG